rnacentral:rRNA from 1 species
GAAGACCAAGGGUUCCUGUCCAACGUUAAUCGGGGCAGGGUGAGUCGACCCCUAAGGCGAGGCCGAAAGGCGUAGUCGAUGGGAAACAGGUUAAUAUUCCUGUACUUGGUGUUACUGCGAAGGGGGGACGGAGAAGGCUAUGUUGGCCGGGCGACGGUUGUCCCGGUUUAAGCGUGUAGGCUGGUUUUCCAGGCAAAUCCGGAAAAUCAAGGCUGAGGCGUGAUGACGAGGCACUACGGUGCUGAAGCAACAAAUGCCCUGCUUCCAGGAAAAGCCUCUAAGCAUCAGGUAACAUCAAAUCGUACCCCAAACCGACACAGGUGGUCAGGUAGAGAAUACCAAGGCGCUUGAGAGAACUCGGGUGAAGGAACUAGGCAAAAUGGUGCCGUAACUUCGGGAGAAGGCACGCUGAUAUGUAGGUGAAGUCCCUCGCGGAUGGAGCUGAAAUCAGUCGAAGAUACCAGCUGGCUGCAACUGUUUAUUAAAAACACAGCACUGUGCAAACACGAAAGUGGACGUAUACGGUGUGACGCCUGCCCGGUGCCGGAAGGUUAAUUGAUGGGGUCAGCGCAAGCGAAGCUCUUGAUCGAAGCCCCGGUAAACGGCGGCCGUAACUAUAACGGUCCUAAGGUAGCGAAAUUCCUUGUCGGGUAAGUUCCGACCUGCACGAAUGGCGUAAUGAUGGCCAGGCUGUCUCCACCCGAGACUCAGUGAAAUUGAACUCGCUGUGAAGAUGCAGUGUACCCGCGGCAAGACGGAAAGACCCCGUGAACCUUUACUAUAGCUUGACACUGAACAUUGAGCCUUGAUGUGUAGGAUAGGUGGGAGGCUUUGAAGUGUGGACGCCAGUCUGCAUGGAGCCGACCUUGAAAUACCACCCUUUAAUGUUUGAUGUUCUAACGUGGACCCGUGAUCCGGGUUGCGGACAGUGUCUGGUGGGUAGUUUGACUGGGGCGGUCUCCUCCUAAAGAGUAACGGAGGAGCACGAAGGUUGGCUAAUCCUGGUCGGACAUCAGGAGGUUAGUGCAAUGGCAUAAGCCAGCUUGACUGCGAGCGUGACGGCGCGAGCAGGUGCGAAAGCAGGUCAUAGUGAUCCGGUGGUUCUGAAUGGAAGGGCCAUCGCUCAACGGAUAAAAGGUACUCCGGGGAUAACAGGCUGAUACCGCCCAAGAGUUCAUAUCGACGGCGGUGUUUGGCACCUCGAUGUCGGCUCAUCACAUCCUGGGGCUGAAGUAGGUCCCAAGGGUAUGGCUGUUCGCCAUUUAAAGUGGUACGCGAGCUGGGUUUAGAACGUCGUGAGACAGUUCGGUCCCUAUCUGCCGUGGGCGCUGGAGAACUGAGGGGGGCUGCUCCUAGUACGAGAGGACCGGAGUGGACGCAUCACUGGUGUUCGGGUUGUCAUGCCAAUGGCACUGCCCGGUAGCUAAAUGCGGAAGAGAUAAGUGCUGAAAGCAUCUAAGCACGAAACUUGCCCCGAGAUGAGUUCUCCCUGACCCUUUAAGGGUCCUGAAGGAACGUUGAAGACGACGACGUUGAUAGGCCGGGUGUGUAAGCGCAGCGAUGCGUUGAGCUAACCGGUACUAAUGAACCGUGAGGCUUAACCUUACAACGCCGAAGGUGUUU